AUGGGGGACUCGGCGGCGCCGGCGGGCAAGCUGGAGAAGAGCUACUUCGACGUGCUGGGCAUCUGCUGCCCGUCGGAGGUGCCGCUAGUGGAGAAGCUGCUCGAGCCGCUCGCCGGCGUGCACAAGGUCACCGUCGUCGUGCCCUCCCGGACCGUCAUCGUCCUCCACGACGCCGCCGCAAUCUCCACGGCCCAGAUCGUCAGGGCGCUGAACGGGGCGAGGCUGGAGGCGUCGGUGCGGGCCUACGGCGGCGCCGGGCAGAGCAAGGUGUCCAACAAAUGGCCCAGCCCGUACGUGCUCGUCUGCGGGGUCCUUCUCGUCGUCUCGCUCUUCGAGCACUUCUGGCGGCCGCUCAAGUGGUUCGCCGUGGCGGGGGCGGCUGCCGGCCUGCCGCCCAUCGUGCUCAGGAGCGUCGCCGCGCUCCGGCGGCGCACCAUGGACGUCAACAUACUCAUGCUCAUCGCAGUUGCUGGGGCCAUAGCUCUCAAGGACUAUUCUGAGGCCGGGUUCAUUGUCUUCCUCUUCACCAUAGCCGAAUGGCUCGAGACCAGGGCCUGCGGCAAGGCCACUGCUGGCAUGUCGUCACUAAUGAGCAUGGCACCACAAAAUGCGGUUCUAGCGGAGACUGGGCAGGUGGUUGCUACCCAGGAUGUGAAGAUCAAUACAGUAAUAGCUGUCAAGGCAGGGGAAGUCGUGCCGAUCGACGGUGUUGUUGUUGAUGGACGGAGUGAGGUCGACGAGAGCACCCUCACUGGGGAAUCCUUCCCAGUGUCCAAGCAGACAGACUCCCAGGUCUGGGCUGGCACGCUCAACAUAGAUGGUUACAUUUCUGUGAGGACAACUGCUAUGGCCGACAACUCUGCGGUGGCCAAAAUGGCAAGGCUCGUUGAAGAAGCCCAAAACAGUCGAUCCAGUACGCAGAGGUUGAUCGACACUUGCGCCAAGUACUACACACCCGCUGUUAUUUUCAUGUCUGCCGCAGUGGCAGUGAUCCCUGUGUGUGUCAAAGCACGCAACCUAAGACACUGGUUUGAACUGGCCCUAGUUCUCCUGGUGAGUGCCUGUCCAUGCGCUCUGGUGCUGUCCACACCCGUGGCAACCUUCUGCGCGCUACUGAGGGCCGCGAGGACGGGGCUCCUCAUCAAAGGAGGGGAUGUCCUUGAGUCCUUGGCCAGUAUCAAAGUUGCUGCCUUCGACAAGACUGGUACAAUCACUAGGGGAGAGUUCUCUGUCGAGGAGUUUCAGACAGUUGGUGAGCGUGUUUCGAAGCAACAACUUGUUUACUGGGUUUCAAGCAUCGAGAGCAGGUCGAGCCACCCAAUGGCAUCUGCUCUUGUUGGUUAUGCUCAAUCAAACUCUGUAGAGCCAAAAUCAGAAAAUGUUGCUGAGUUUCAAAUCUAUCCUGGCGAGGGGAUUUACGGUGAAAUUGAUGGAGAGGGCGUAUAUGUUGGGAACAAAAGGAUCUUGGCAAGGGCAUCGUGUCAAACAGUUCCAGACAUAGUAGAACACAUGAAAGGAGUUACCAUCGGAUAUGUGGCCUGCAACAAGGAAUUGAUUGGGGUAUUCAGCCUCUCGGAUUCUUGCCGAACUGGGGCAGCCGAGGCCAUCAAGGAGUUGAGAUCACUGGGCAUCAAGUCAGUGAUGCUUACUGGCGAUAGUACUGCCGCUGCCACAUAUGCACAGAACCAGCUGGGGAACAUCCUGGCUGAGGUUCACUCUGAACUUCUGCCUGAAGACAAAGUGAGAAUUGUAGAUGAACUGAAGGCAGGAGAUGGCCCUACACUGAUGAUUGGCGACGGCAUGAAUGAUGCCCCGGCAUUGGCUAAGGCUGAUGUUGGAGUCUCCAUGGGCGUGUCCGGUUCAGCUGUCGCAAUGGAGACGAGUCACAUUACUCUGAUGUCGAAUGACAUCCGCAGGAUCCCAAAGGCAAUCAAGCUGGCCAGGAGGACACACCGGACCAUCGUCGUGAACAUUGUCUUCUCGGUGACUACGAAGCUUGCAAUUGUUGCACUUGCGUUUGCAGGGCAUCCGCUUAUUUGGGCAGCAGUCCUUGCUGAUGUUGGCACAUGCUUGUUGGUGAUCAUGUACAGCAUGCUGCUACUGAGGGAGAAAGGCAGUGGAAAGGUGGCGAAGAAAUCCUGUGCUUCUUCUCACUCAAGGAAGCAUGGGCAUGGUACUUCCCACCACUGCUCCGAUGGUCACCACCAUGAGCAUGUAUCUGCAGGUAAGCAUUCUUCUUGCCAUGAUCAUCACCAUGAGCAUGAUCACCACAAAGAGCCUAGCAACCUGCAUUCCACAGGCAAGCAUGGCUGCCAUGAUCAUCACCAUGAGCAUGACCACCACAAAGAGCCGAGCAACCUGCAUUCCACAGACAAGCAUGGCUGCCAUGAUCAUGGACAUGGCCAUAGCCACUGCAAAGAGACGAGCAGCCAGAUGGUCACAAGCAAGCAUGUUUCCCAUGGUCAUGCCCAUACCCACAACAUCUGCAACCCUCACCCCACUGCGAACAAGCAUGAUUGCCAUGACCAUGAACAUAACCACCACCAAGAACCCAACAGUUCACAUUCUGCCGAUGAGCAUGAUUGCCAUGAUCACAAGCACUGUGAAGAACCAAUCAGCUUGCUUUGUGCCACUGAGCAUGCUUGCCACGACCAGAACCAUGAGCAUCAUUGCUGUGAUGAAGAGCAAACAGUGCAUGUCGCAGAUGCGCAUUCCUGCCAUGGCCAUAAGCAUGACGACAGUGCGGCUGAUCCAGUUCCAGAGCUGUCGAUAUCUAUCGAGAGCGCAUUGCCUGAUCACCAUGAGCAGGAGAUCCAGUGCAUCAAAGAGCACAAAGAGGAAGCGUGUGGGCAUCACCUGAAGGUCAAGGAUCACGUCCCGGCUCCGACAGAUUGCAGCAGGGGAAACUGUCACAGUACGGUGAGCAGCAAGGGAUGUGAAAGCAAGGGCAAAGAAGUUUGUUCAAGCUGGCCGGUUGGUCGUACCGGAAUAGUCCGCAGGUGUUGCAGGACUAGGGCGCGCAGCUGCUGCAGCCACAGCAUGUUGAAACUACCUGAGAUCAUAGUAGAGUAG
rnacentral:rRNA from 1 species